rnacentral:rRNA from 1 species
UACGUAGGUGGCAAGCGUUACUCGGAAUCACUAGGCGUAAAGCGCAGGUAGGCGGUUAGAUAAGUUUCUUGUGAAAGCUCCUGGCUUAACUGGGAGAGGUCAAGGAAUACUGUUUGACUUGAGUGUGGUAGGGGUAACUGGAAUUCCCGGUGUAGCGGUGAAAUGCGCAGAUAUCAGGAGGAACACCGGUGGCGAAGGCGGGUCUCUGGGCCACUACUGACGCUGAGAAGCGAAAGCAUGGGGAGCGAACAGG